rnacentral:rRNA from 1 species
CGCUGGCGGCACGCUUAACACAUGCAAGUCGAACGGAGUUUUGAGAGCUUGCUUUAAAAACUUAGUGGCGGACGGGUGAGUAACACGUGAGCAAUCUGCCUUUCAGAGGGGGAUAGCAGUUGGAAACGACUGAUAAUACCGCAUAAUAUAGUAGGAUCGCAUGAUUUAACUAUCAAAGAUUUAUCGCUGAAAGAUGAGCUCGCGUCUGAUUAGAUAGUUGGUGAGGUAACGGCUCACCAAGUCGACGAUCAGUAGCCGGACUGAGAGGUUGAACGGCCACAUUGGGACUGAGACACGGCCCAGACUCCUACGGGAGGCAGCAGUGGGGAAUAUUGCACAAUGGGCGCAAGCCUGAAUGCAGCGAUGCCGCGUGAGGGAAGAAGGUUUUAGGAUUGUAAACCUCUGUCUUUGGGGACGAUAAUGACGGUACCCAAGGAGGAAGCUCCGGCUAACUACGUGCCAGCAGCUGC